rnacentral:tRNA from 1 species
GCCUGGGUGGCUCAGUCAGAAAAGCACAUGACUUUUGAUCUUGGGGUCAUGGGUUUCAGUCUCAUGCUGGGUG